rnacentral:rRNA from 1 species
UAGGGAAUCUUCGGCAAUGGACGAAAGUCUGACCGAGCAACGCCGCGUGAGUGAAGAAGGUUUUCGGAUCGUAAAACUCUGUUGUUAGAGAAGAACAAGGACGUUAGUAACUGAACGUCCCCUGACGGUAUCUAACCAGAAAGCCACGGCUAACUACGUGCCAGCAGCCGCGGUAAUACGGAGGGUGCAAGCGUUAAUCGGAAUUACUGGGCGUAAAGCGCACGCAGGCGGUUGAUUGAGUCAGAUGUGAAAUCCCCGGGCUUAACCCGGGAAUUGCAUCUGAUACUGGUCAGCUAGAGUCUUGUAGAGGGGGGUAGAAUUCCAUGUGUAGCGGUGAAAUGCGUAGAGAUGUGGAGGAAUACCGGUGGCGAAGGCGGCCCCCUGGACAAAGACUGACGCUCAGGUGCGAAAGCGUGGGGAGCAAACAGG